UUCUGUUGCCACACAACACAUGUGUGGACAUAUUCAGUGAUGGUCUCAUUCAUGUCCAUCCAAUGUGGGUGUGGAAAAUUCCUGAAUGACCUCCCAUAGGCGUAGUAUGAUAUUCUUGGAGUAGUUUGGGAAUCCAACUCGAAGAUGACAAUAAGAUCAUCUUGCCUUUGUAAUGGAGUCUUUCAUUUUCCAAGGUAUAAUUCAUGUAACUUUGGACUACUCCUUAAUUUCUUCCUGAUUUUCUUUAAAGUAGGAUCUUGCUUAUUUUCUACCUCUACCAACUCAAUGUCCCACUAUGAAGGUUUGUAUAAAACAUUGAUCUCCACACCCCAUCUUCUUUCUCAUUGUCCCACUAGGAAGGUUUGUAUAAAACAUUGAUCUCCACACCUCAUCUUCUUUCUCAUCCAGUCUUCACGAUAACACAUCUGUCACCUUAUUAGAUGCUCUUAAUUUGUACACUAUCAUAUUGGUUCUGGGUGGUGAUUUUUUGCUCUAGUAAAUAUCUUAAACUCUUCUGAUAUAAGCAUACCGUAAAUUUCCAUCCGAGCACGUAAGGUCUCCGAUGCUAAAUUGUUAACACCAAGGCCAUUAAUUCCUUCUCAUAUAUAGACUUUGUUAGAGAAGUCUCUACCAAAACCUUACUGAAAAAAGCAAUAGGUUUUUUUUUUCCUGGGACAACACCACCGGUCCCAAACCAGUUCCUAAAGCAUCACAUUCAAUGCAAAACAGUUGACUGAAAUUUGACAUCAUUAACAUCAGGCAUUAGUGACUGCAUUCUUUAACUGUUGCAUGGCAUUCGAACUUUCUUCUAUCCAAGCAGAAUUCUCCUUUUUCAACAAUUAUGUUAAGGGUCUCGCCAUUCUUCUAUAGUUAUAGAUGAAUCUUCUAUUGUAACUUGUGAGGCCUAAAAAUCCUCCCAAGGCCUUCAAUGAUUUGGGAGUUGGCCAUUGCAUGAUAACUUAAAUCUUCUAAGGAUCCAUCUAAACUCUCUCUCCUGAAAUUACAUGCCCUAGAUAUUGGACUUCUCGCCGCAUUUUUUGCUUUGAGAGUCUUUAAAACACUCGUUUAACAAACUUGCAUUUUUUGUGAUUUGCGUAAAAUUGUUGUUUGAGAGUCUUUAAAACUAUUUCAAG
rnacentral:lncRNA from 1 species